rnacentral:misc_RNA from 1 species
AUUAAUUUUUUGGGGUUUUGCAUUCUAUGCUUUUGGAAUGGGUUAGUCGGUGCAUUGCUUGCCUGUAGCUAGAUUUCCAUAGCAAACAAUAUGGUACGUGUAUGAAUACUAUGCCACCUAGUAACAUGGUACCUGCAGCCUGCCAUUUUUCUCAUCUUACAUUUUGCUAGAAAAUUUUAUUAGUUCUGGACUGUGUUAUGAAUUGAUAUAGUAUUGGGCCUGAUCACUCUUGAGGGUCUCUGAAACUUUGAAUUUAUGAUCAUCAAUUAGAACUUCCACUUUCACACCCAACAGUUAUGCAGCUAAUUAAGGAGGUGAAAAAGAAGCAAAUAUCAGAUGGUGUUAAAAGAGCAAGUCUCCUCAUCAACAUCCGAGGUUAUGACGUUAUGUUCCCCAACUUGGGAGUAGGAAAUGGCACGCCUAUCUCAUGUUAACCAGCAAUAUAAUAUACUGGCAAGGACAAAAAUCUGAGUCUUGUUUUUUGUUUUGCCAUUGUAUGUUUCCUACAGAGAAUAAAAA